AAAUUGAAGAGUUUGAUCAUGGCUCAGAUUGAACGCUGGCGGCAGGCCUAACACAUGCAAGUCGAACGGUAACAGGAAGCAGCUUGCUGCUUCGCUGACGAGUGGCGGACGGGUGAGUAAUGUCUGGGAAACUGCCUGAUGGAGGGGGAUAACUACUGGAAACGGUAGCUAAUACCGCAUAAUGUCGCAAGACCAAAGAGGGGGACCUUCGGGCCUCUUGCCAUCGGAUGUGCCCAGAUGGGAUUAGCUUGUUGGUGGGGUAACGGCUCACCAAGGCGACGAUCCCUAGCUGGUCUGAGAGGAUGACCAGCCACACUGGAACUGAGACACGGUCCAGACUCCUACGGGAGGCAGCAGUGGGGAAUAUUGCACAAUGGGCGCAAGCCUGAUGCAGCCAUGCCGCGUGUAUGAAGAAGGCCUUCGGGUUGUAAAGUACUUUCAGCGGGGAGGAAG
rnacentral:rRNA from 1 species